rnacentral:rRNA from 1 species
GUGGGGAAUAUUGGACAAUGGGCGAAAGCCUGAUCCAGCCAUGCCGCGUGUGUGAAGAAGGUCUUCGGAUUGUAAAGCACUUUAAGUUGGGAGGAAGGGCAGUAAGUUAAUACCUUGCUGUUUUGACGUUACCGACAGAAUAAGCACCGGCUAACUUCGUGCCAGCAGCCGCGGUAAUACGAAGGGGGCGAGCGUUAUUCGGAAUCACUGGGCGUAAAGCGUGCGUAGGCGGUUUUGUAAGUUAGGAGUGAAAGCCCAGGGCUCAACCUUGGAAUUGCUCUUAAAACUGCAAGGCUCGAAUCUCGGAGAGGAUAGCGGAAUUUCCAGUGUAGCAGUGAAAUGCGUAGAUAUUGGAAGGAACACCAGUGGCGUAAGCGGCUAUCUGGACGAGUAUUGACGCUGAGGCACGAAAGCGUGGGGAGCAAACAGGAUUAGAUACCCCAGUAGUCC